GAUGAACGCUGGCGGCGUGCCUAAUACAUGCAAGUCGAACGCUGAAGGAAGGAGCUUGCUCUUUCCGGAUGAGUUGCGAACGGGUGAGUAACGCGUAGGUAACCUGCCUGGUAGCGGGGGAUAACUAUUGGAAACGAUAGCUAGUACCGCAUAACAGUAGAUGUUGCAUGAUAUCUACUUAAAAGGUGCAAUUGCACCACUACCAGAUGGACCUGCGUUGUAUUAGCUAGUUGGUGAGGUAACGGCUCACCAAGGCGACGAUACAUAGCCGACCUGAGAGGGUGAUCGGCCACACUGGGACUGAGACACGGCCCAGACUCCUACGGGAGGCAGCAGUAGGGAAUCUUCGGCAAUGGACGGAAGUCUGACCGAGCAACGCCGCGUGAGUGAAGAAGGUUUUCGGAUCGUAAAGCUCUGUUGUAAGAGAAGAACGAGUGUGAGAGUGGAAAGUUCACACUGUGACGGUAUCUUACCAGAAAGGGACGGCUAACUACGUG
rnacentral:rRNA from 1 species